rnacentral:rRNA from 1 species
UACGGGGGGAGCAAGCGUUGUUCGGAUUUACUGGGCGUAAAGGGCGCGUAGGCGGCCAGCACAAGUCAGUUGUGAAAUCUCCGAGCUUAACUCGGAAAGGUCAACUGAUACUGUGCGGCUAGAGUGCGGAAGGGGCAACUGGAAAUCUUGGUGUAGCGGUGAAAUGCGUAGAUAUCAAGAGGAACACCUGCGGCGAAGGCGGGUUGCUGGGCCGACACUGACGCUGAUGCGCGAAAGCCAGGGGAGCGAACAGG